rnacentral:rRNA from 1 species
CCUACGGGUGGCAGCAGUGGGGAAUAUUGGACAAUGGGCGAAAGCCUGAUCCAGCCAUGCCGCGUGUGUGAAGAAGGCCUUCGGGUUGUAAAGCACUUUCAGUGGGGAAGAAAGCCUUGGGGCUAAUACCCUCGAGGAAGGACAUCACCCCCAGAAGAAGCACCGGCUAACUCCGUGCCAGCAGCCGCGGUAAUACGGAGGGUGCGAGCGUUAAUCGGAAUUACUGGGCGUAAAGCGCGCGUAGGCGGUCUGAUAAGCCGGUUGUGAAAGCCCCGGGCUCAACCUGGGAACGGCAUCCGGAACUGUCAGGCUAGAGUGCAGGAGAGGAAGGUAGAAUUCCCGGUGUAGCGGUGAAAUGCGUAGAGAUCGGGAGGAACACCAGUGGCGAAGGCGGCCUUCUGGACUGACACUGACGCUGAGGUGCGAAAGCGUGGGUAGCAAACAGGAUUAGAUACCCCAGUAGUC